CCCCUCGCAGGAUGGCACUUGGAGAGUUUCCAGGACUCUACCAGUCUUGGCUAUGGGUGGGCAAGUCAAACAGAGACCUACCCAUUCCAUUCCUAGCUCGGGCAGUGGCUAGCGAGUGGAAGGCAAUCUGCUACAUGU